rnacentral:rRNA from 1 species
GACGAACGCUGGCGGCGUGCUUAACACAUGCAAGUCGAACGGAAAGGCCCUGCUUUUGUGGGGUGCUCGAGUGGCGAACGGGUGAGUAACACGUGAGUAACCUGCCCUUGACUUUGGGAUAACUUCAGGAAACUGGGGCUAAUACCGGAUAGGAGCUCCUGCUGCAUGGUGGGGGUUGGAAAGUUUCGGCGGUUGGGGAUGGACGCGCGGCUUAUCAGCUUGUUGGUGGGGUAGUGGCUUACCAAGGCUUUGACGGGUAGCCGGCCUGAGAGGGUGACCGGCCACAUUGGGACUGAGAUACGGCCCAGACUCCUACGGGAGGCAGCAGUGGGGAAUAUUGCACAAUGGGCGGAAGCCUGAUGCAGCAACGCCGCGUGCGGGAUGACGGCCUUCGGGUUGUAAACCGCUUUCGCCUGUGACGAAGCGUGAGUGACGGUAAUGGGUAAAGAAGCACCGGCUAACUACGG